ACCGCGGCCUGCGCGACCCGGGGUCGGGGCUGCGCCAACGUGACCGGCCCGGGAGGGAGGCCCGAGGCCGGCCCCGCUCCGCGUUCCCCUGCCCGGAGCCGCUGCAGAGGCGCCCGCCCGACAAGACUCGGCAGGAGCUCGAGAUGCAACCGUGCUUUAUUGAGGACCUACUAGGUGCUAAGCACGAGCUAAGCGCGCCCACGGCCAGUACCUCCAGGUUCUUCCUAGACACACACUGUCUGGGGCCUGGCCAAGGCUGUGGGCCUGGGCCAGGGGCCAGUGGAGAGCAGGAACCUGGGCGCUGGAGGCUUGCUGGCUGGAGCCAAAUUUCUUCUGAGCCUUGGAGGCCCUGUGGGAAGGGAGGCCCUUAGCCCUACUCAGUCCUGGAUGGAGAACGCUAAGCCACGGAGUGGGAUGAAGAAACUGAUGCUCGAGGAAGUGGAGCCCAAGGUUACACAGCCAGGAAAGGCAGAGUCAAGGCCUGAACUCCUCUCGUCGAUUCCUCAGCCGGACCCUGUUCCGGUCUCUCCACGCUGCCUCCCACCCCGGGCCUGGGCACCACUCCCAGGCCCCAACUAUCACAGAUGCCCGAUAAAAACAUGGACUGGGCACGUACGCUGUGCCAGGCACUGUCCCGGCCGCACUGCAUUAAAUCCUCACAGCAACCCCGGCAGGCCCUCACCGUUGACAAUGGUCCGACGGGCAAUCUCCCACAGCACCAGACCAAAGGCCCAGAUGUCCGUCCACUUGUAGGACUCGAAGCAGUCGGUGCGGAUCUGCUCUUCCAGCACCUCGGGGGCCAUGUACCGCUUGGUGCCCACUCGCGGGUUGUUGCCGAUGUCCAGGUAAUCGCUACCCUGGGAGUGCAUCACAGCCAGGCCUGUGGGCACCGGGCCUGUCACUCCUGCCGCUCGCCCGAGCCCACAGACAGGGUGGCCCUGGAGGCUGGGGUGCAGGAGGCAAGGUGGGGAUGGAGAGAGGUGGUGGGGCAGAGAGCAGCAGGCAGAGGGACACCUGUCCUGGGGCGGGCGGGGGACCGCAGCCCCCGAGGACGCCUGUCCCAGCGACGCUCUGCUCGCCUAAGCGCUCCCCCAAGCGCCCGAGGACCCAGAGACACGGGAGUAGGCAAGGCCGGCGUUGUCAUGCCUGUUUCCCGGGCGGACCCCCGAGGCCUGCUGAGGGGCGCAGUGCAGCCAGCAAAGCCGGGGUGAAACCCGGGGCUCCCGGCGCCCCGCCCCGUGCUCCCAACUCCCGGAACCAGGGUGCUGGGCCGGAGGAGUCGGGCCUGCAGAGCCGCAAGGCAGCCUGUGAGGCCGAGGGCGAGGGCACAAGCCAGCACAAGCCAGCGAGGAGGGGCGCGCUCAAAGCCCGCCCGGCCGCCGCCCCGCGCACCCCGCACUCACCCAGGUCGGCGAUGCAGCACUGCAGGUUGCUCUUGACCAGCACGUUGCGGCUUUUGAGGUCCCGGUGGGCGAUGGCCGGCUUGCCCUGGGUGCCGAAGAUCUCCACGUGCAGGUGGGCCAGGCCGCAGGCGGCGGACACAGCCAGCUUCAGGGCCAGCUGGGGCUCCAGCGUCUGCCUCUGCAGGAAGUCGUAGAGCGAGCCGUGCUCGUGGUAGUGCGUGAUGAGCCACAGCUGCGUGCUCGAGUUGCGGGACGUCAUGUCCGAGGCGAUGAAGCCUGUGGGCAGAGGGUCGGGCGGCUCGGCCGAGGGGCGAGGGCCAGGGAGGCUGGGCCGAUGGGGGUCAGGGUCGGGGCUGGGGACAGAGGGUAGAGGGUCAGGGCAAAGCCGGGGCCGCGGUGGACGCUGGUCCGGCUUAGGCCAGGGAGGAAGCUGGAGUCGAGGCCGGAGCCGGGGGCCCCGGGGAGCCCUGAGGACCCCAGCCCCGAGCGCUCCCCACGUGCCUAGGAUGUUGUCGUGUCUGAGCAGCACUGUAUUGUAGAUCUCGGUCUCCCGGAACCAGGACUGUUCGUCCCUCGAAGAGAAGAUCUUGACGGCCACGCUCUCGCCGUGCCACAGGCCGCGCCACACCUCGCCAUAGCGGCCCUUGCCUGAUCCGGUGGCGGGAGGGUGGGAGGAGUCACACGCUGGGCACACGCAGCCCCUGGGCAGGGCAUCCCCAGAGGAGCCCCCCACCGCCUUGAUGCUGUCCUGACCGCAGCUGCAGAACCCUCGAUGAGGUUUCACCCGCUCCAGGCCCGCCCCCACUUGCCUUGCCACCCCCAGCCGCUGCAGAACCAUCUAGCCCAGACCCUCUCCAGGCCACCGCCUACCCAGCAGCGUUCCCUUUCGGGCCGGGCCUGCCCGGGACUCCGAGACCAAGAGCUCGCUCACUCCCGCGAGCUCAUGGGAGGCCCUGGUCUCAUCCCCCCGGGGCUCCCCCACUGCUCACCUACACACUCCACCAGGGCCACCUGCCGUGCCACUGUCCUCUGCACCAGGAAGGGGAGUCCUGAGCCACUGCCUGUGGUACAGUCGCUGUCCAGGAGAUCCUAGGGGGCCCGGAGAGGCCGCUGAGAGGCCCCCACCUGGCCCAGCCCGUUUCUUCCUCCUAAAGCUGGGCCCCACUGCUGCGUCCCCCUGCUCCAAACUUGCCCAGCGCCCACCCCCGGCCCCCACUCAGAUCUCCGAGUGUUUGUGAUUGUGCCUUUCUUGGCUGCUUGUCACUCGGCACCCCCUCUGAUUCUGUGGCUCCUGCCUAGCCCCUCCCCUGCCCGUGUCCCAGGUUCCCCCAGGCCCAUACCCCCAGCAUGCUGUCCCCCUGCUCCGACGACUUCAGGAUGAGGCUGGACUCGCCCAGCUCGCUGCGUAGGCCCCGCUGCUUCUCCUGCCUCCGCCGGACAUGCCACAGGCCCAGGGCACCCAGGGCCACCAGGGCCACCACGGCCAGCACAGGGCCCAGGAUCAGAGGCAGCUGGCCAUCUACUUUCGGCUGCUCCGGAGGAAUUUGGGUGGCUGGUGGAGGGGGGACACCGAGGCCCAGCUUCCACCAGGCCGGAUCCCUCCCCUGACUCAGAUCCCAGGGUCCUGCCGUGCACCGCCCCCCCAUCCAGGCCAGAGCACAAGGUGGAAGCAGGGCAGGGAGGAAGGGUCUGAGAAGAUGGGGAGGGCCUGCGGGGACUUGCACGUACCCUCCAGCACCAGGGACACGUUGUGGUUGCAGAGGGGGCUGUAGCAGCAGUAGUGGUUCACGAACUCGGUGGGGCGCCCCCGGCACAGCUCCUCGUUCAGGUUCCCGCAGCCCCGAUGCUCCUGGGGGUGUCGGCCCUCCUCCCGCACCAGCACCACCGUGCACCAGGUCCCCUGGCAGGUAGGCCCCCUGCAGUGUGGGCUCUCACACGUGCAGGUCAGCAGCGGGCCCCGAGAGGGCUUCACCGGGUUGCCUGGGAGACACACUGGAAGCUCAGCGCUGUGGGCCGAACUCCUGGGCGGGGCCCAACACCGAUGUCUGACCCAUUGCCCUUCCCUCUGACCUCUCAAACAUACCCCUGAGGCCGUGGGCCUUUAGUCCCAGCCUCGGAUGAUCCUUCCUUCCAGAACCUUAGCCUCUGAUACGAUGAUGAGAACCAGGCUUCGUCCUGUCCCAGAUCCGAGGACCUUCCCUCCUGGUUCUAGGCCCGGCCCUGGCCCCUGCCCCAACCCUGAGGGCUCUCCUAGGCCCUCCCUGCCAACAUCCCCAUUCUCUGCACCCCCCAGAUACAGGUUCCUACCCUGGAGGCCAGUAGGGCACCAGUCUGUGGGUUCAGAUCAGAACAUUGAGGGCUGGGGCAGCUGAGCCUGCCUCCCACUCUCCAGCCAAGCUCCUGAGUACCUCCCCAGCUCCUCAAAUUCAGCCCCAGCAAGAGCUGACCCCAGCCAGCCCUUCCUCCAUCCAGGUCCGUGUCCCCCACCUGCUUCCCUAGUACUUACCCUGGGUCAGGCCCCAGGCCAUCAGUAGCAUCAGAAGGCCUCUCCUGGGCAGGUCCAAGGUCAUGGUCCCUGGAGAGGAGAGGGGGUUACCGUAAGAUCCGUGAAAUGUGUUCCCCUUGGUGUUUUUAGCCACCGACUGUGGGUUCCUCCCACCCAGAGGAAAUCACUGGGAGUUUUGGGGGGGGGGCAGGGAGGCCUCCUCCCUACUCCCUGUGUCUGGCUUUGGGGCGGGGCCUGCAGGGGAAGUCCUGGUUCACUUCCCCAUGGAAACCAUCCUGUAAGGGGUAAAGGGUGGGGGAGCCAUGUUUGAGUGACAGAGAGCUUGGGGGACUCCCAGCUAUUUACCCCUGCUCCUGGGUUCAGACUGGAGGACACAGAGGGCACGGGCCGGGGUGGAAGGCACUUGUCUUCAGCAGUCCCCCCGCACCCUGUGUCCUCCGGCUCUUGCCCACCCCCCUCCCCGC